rnacentral:rRNA from 1 species
UACGUAGGGGGCGAGCGUUGUCCGGAUUUAUUGGGCGUAAAGAGCUCGUAGGCGGUCUGUCGCGUCUGCUGUGAAAUCUCAGGGCUUAACCCUGAGCUUGCAGUGGGUACGGGCAGACUAGAGUGCGGUAGGGGAGAUUGGAAUUCCUGGUGUAGCGGUGGAAUGCGCAGAUAUCAGGAGGAACACCGAUGGCGAAGGCAGAUCUCUGGGCCGUAACUGACGCUGAGGAGCGAAAGCGUGGGGAGCGAACAGG